ensembl:lncRNA
AGAGGGGGGAUUACCCCGCCGCCCCCCGCGCGGGGAGUGGGGGGAGUGCGGGGGGCGCGGCGGGAGCGCGGCAGCGGGAGCGCGGCCAGGGAGGAGUGGAGAGGAGCGGAACGAGCCGGCGGCAUCCCCGGGUCCGGUGAGCCCCGCGGGUGGGGAGGGAGGAGAGGGGGUGUGAGUGUGCCCUGCGGCGGGGUGUGUGCGAAGCCGGGGAAACGCGUGGGUGCGAGUGUGUGUGGGAGCGUCAUCCCCACGGCUGUGCGGAGCAUCACCCAUAGGGUUCUGCGGAGCGGAGAGCGUGUGCGAGUGUGUGCGGGAGCAUCAUCCACAGUGGCGUGCGGGAGCGUGCGUGUGCUGGAGCAUCAUCCACAGGGGCGUGCGGGAACGUGCGCGUGCGGGAGCAUCACCCACAGGGGCGUGCGGGAGCGUGCGCGUGCGGGAGCAUCAUCCGCAGGGGUGGGGGGAGCGCGUUUAUGCAACGCGCGGGUGGCUGCGUGUGCCGUGACACACGCGUGCGCGGCCGCAGCACACGCACAGCGGGACGCGGCGGUGCGCGGUCCCCGGCCCCGGCCGGGCGCGGCUGAGCGGCGGGGCUCUCCCUCCCUCCCUCCCUGCGGCAGGUGCGGGAUGCGGCGGAGCGCGGCGGCGUGCUGGGCGCUGGUGCUGCUGGCCGCCACCUUCUGCGACACGGUGGCCGGCAAGGGUGGGCGCGGCGGAGCCCGCGGGGCGGCCCGCGGCGCGGCGCGGGGGGCGGCCCGCAGCCGGCCGAGGGCGGCCGUGCCCCGGUACGGCUCUGCCGGGGCAGCCCUGCGCGUGGCGGGGGCGGCGGCGGCGGGAGCGGCGGCCGGCGUGGCGGCGGGGGCGGCCCUGCGCCGGGCCCGGCUGUCCGGAGAGCUGCAAGCGGGAGACGGCGUCGAGUACCGCGACGGCAACUGGACGGCGGCCGCCAGCGCCUGGACCUCCGCCGCGCCGGCCGGGAGCCCGCCGAGCCGGGCGCUGCCCUGGCUCUGCCCGCUGGCCGCCCUCCUCCGCCGCUGA